AACGCACAUUGCGCCCGCCGGUAUUCCGGCGGGCAUGCCUGUUCGAGCGUCAUUUCAACCAUCAAGCCCCCGGGCUUGCGUUGGGGACCUGCGGCUGCGCGCAGGCCCCGAAAACCAGUGGCGGGCUCGCCGACACACCGAGCGUAGUAGUUUACACCUCGCUUAGGUCGUCGCGGCGGGCGCUGGCCGUUAAACCCCCCCAUCUCACCAAAGGUUGACCUCGGAUCAGGUAGGAAUACCCGCUGAACUUAA
rnacentral:misc_RNA from 1 species